CCGGCCCGGAGCGCGCUCCUCCGCCGAGGCCCUUCGGCCUGGGGCUUAGGGGAGACCCUCCCUGUCCUGCCACAAGCCACGCGGGGAAGGCGGGGAAACUGAGGCACGGGAGUGGCGUGGGGGACUCUCACUCUGCUGCAUGGGCUAGGGUAGGGUUGGUUCCUAGCCCAGGGCUGCUGGGGGUACAGGGCCCAAGAGCCUGGCCAACGCAGGAGGGGGAAGAGUCACAGCCACUGCCCCAGCUUGUCCUGGAAUAUCUCUUUCCCCAACACACACACGCACCCCGCCGCCACCACCAUCUUGUCCCAGCCGAGGAGGAGAGGUACAGCAAUGCUGCUCCAGGAGGCAGGGGGUUGCAGAGGAGAAGGCUCUUGCGCCGGACACGGGAGACCCAUCUUAGAAAAAAUGAAACUGGAAAUAAGAUGCAUAUUUUUAACAGCAAGAUGGAUUCCCUGUCCCGCCUGCCCCCAACAGAUUCCCUGUGCAUGGGGGAUUGGCCAUCAUCUGGAGUCUACAUCCCCAACCAGUCUCUUUUCUAAAGAUAUGGCUGGCUGCAGGCCUGGCCGCGAGAGAGCCUCGCCUGAGCCUGGCAUAGAACAGGCUGGAGCCGAUCAGAAGGGCCCCUUCUGGCCUUGACAACUACGAAUCUAAGAAGUGACUCUGAAAAAGAUUUGUGGGUCGUGGUGCAUAAUCGGCUGAGCGUGAGCUCUCAGUGCGACGCUGGUGGCCAAAAGAGUGAAUCCGAUCAUCGGAUGUGUACACAGGAAUCUCAGAAAUACCAGGCAUGGCAGGUCUGAUCUCCUCUGAGGACUCUGUGAGACAGAUUCUGGACGGUUUGGCAUUUGAAGAGUGAGGGCAGUUGAAGAUUUCACAAGAACUGUUUUCCCCCGAGUGUGUCUCUGGCAUUUGAGUUAUAUAAGUGGUAGCACCUUACCACAUACAGUUUGAAGCAAUGAAUGUAUACCUUCCCCCAUCAUUAACCAGCUUUCUCUCACUUUGUGUCUGUGCUGUCCCAGCCCGCCCAGCUCUCCAGUCAUCCCAGAAAAUCACAGUAGCCAAGACCUGAAUUUCUAGUGUGAAAAAGGCCCAAGAACUGCCCCCAAAUCAUUCCUGCAGCAGAGCUGUGAGAAAAACAUCCAGUCUUGAUUUAAAAAUCGUCGGUGAUGGAGAAUCCACCAUGGUGCUUGGUAAGUUGUUCCGAUGGUUAAUUACUUUCAGAAUUAAAAACGUACGCCUUAUUGCCAGUCUGAAUUUGUCUAGUUUCAACUUCCAGCCAGUGGAUCAUGUUAGACCUUCCUCUGCUAGUUUGAUGAGUUCCUUAUGAAAUAUUUGUUCCCCAUGUAGGUACUUAUAGACUGUGAUCAAGUCACCCCUUAACCUUCUGUUUGUUAAGCUAAAUAAAUUGAGCUCCUUGGGUCUCUCACUCUAAGGGAAGAGGCCGAGCGGGGGUGACUCCGGAGUGGGGGCAGGUGCAGGUAGGGUGACCAGACAGCAAGUGUGAAAAAUCUGGAUGGGAGUGGGGGGUAAUAGGAGCCUAUAUAAGAAAAAGCCCAAAUAUUGGGACUGUCCCUAUAAAAUUGGGACAUUGGGUCACCCUAGGGGCAAGCCCAUGGCCCAGGUGCUGGGACCCCUUCUGGCUGUGGGCCUGGUGCCAUUAUAUAGAGAGAGAUAUACCUAUCUCCUAGAACUGGAAGGGACCCUGAAAGGUCAUUGAGUCCAGCCCCCUGCCUUCACUAGUAAGACCAAGUACUGAUUUUUGCCCCACAUCCCUAAGUGACCCCCCUCAAGGACUGAGCUCACAACCCUGGGUUUAGCAGGCUAAUGCCCAAACCACUGAGCUAUCCCUCCCCUGUUAACUCAGUGCUGCCUGCUUGAGAUUCCCGUGUUUAUGCAUUCCAGGAUCGCGUUAGCCUUUUUGGCCACAAUGUCACACUGGGAGCUCACGUUCAGCUGAUUAUCCACCACAACUCCCAAAUCCUUUUCAGAGUUGCUGCUUCCCAGGGUAGAGCCCCGCAUCCUGAGUGCAUCCGACAUUCUCCGCUCCGAGGUGUACACAUUUCCAUUUCAUUUCCAUUUAGCCACAUUGUUUGCUUAUGCCCAGUUUACCAAGUCCGCUGUGUAUCAGUAACCUGUUCUCUUCAUUAUUUCCCCCUCCCCCAAUUGUUGUGUUGUCUGGAAACUUUAUCAGUGAUGACUUUACAUUUUCUUCCAGGUCACGAAUAAAAAUGUUAGAGGAGGGUCAACCACUGACCCCUGAAGAACCCCCAGCGGAACCGCACCCAUUGGAUGUGAUCCCCCGUUUACAAUGACAUUUUGAGACCCAUCCGUUAGCCAUUUUUAAUCCAUUUAAUGUGGACCAUGUUCAUUUUCUAUUGCUCUAGUUCUUUUAAUCAAAAUGUUGUGAGGUACCAAGUCAUACACCUGACAGAAGCCUAAGUAGAUGAUGUCAGCAUCAUUACCUUUAUCAACCAAACUUGUCACCUCAUCAAAAAACGAGAUCAAGUUAGUCUGACAGGAUCUAUUUUCCAUAAAGCCAUGUGGAUGGGCAUUAAUUCCA